AAUCAAGCGUUUAAGGGCGUGUAGUGGAUGCCUUGGCACUGAAAGCCGAUGAAGGACGUGAUAUACUGCGAUAAGUUUCGGGGAGCUGUAUGUAAGUUUUGAUCCGAAAAUUUCCGAAUGGGGAAACCCACCACUUUAUGUGGUACUUUAAACUGAAUACAUAGGUUUAAAGAGACAACCUGGAGAACUGAAACAUCUAAGUAACCAGAGGAAAAGAAA
rnacentral:rRNA from 1 species